AAAAUCAGUUCUUUUCUCUCGCAAGUCGCAUCUCGAACUCGGACAGGUUUUCUCUCUCUGGCCGCCUUUUCGUCGCUCAUGUUCUUGGCUGAAUCACUAAAUCUAUUUUUUCUGUUCAUCUUCUUUCCAUAUUGCGAUUUACUCACAGAUGAAGGUUGAAUUUCACAAGUCUUAACUGAUUCCUCAAAAAAAAAAAAAAAUAAUAAUAAUAAUAAUUCCAGCACUGCUCAUCAUGUUGCUACAAAGUUGGUUUUUCUAGUUCAAUUUGGUUCUCUCGAGCACAAAUAUGUAUACUUUCUUUUUCUUAUUGUUGGUUAGCUUGGUAAUUAUGACACUAAAAAUUUGAAAGUUGUUUUGUGAAAGAAAUGGCAUGUUUGUAUUGUGUGUAUUUCAGGAUGCAUUUGCAUGGUUUAAACUAAUUACAACAUUACUUGGCAUGUUCAUACUGUUCCCUUUUUUUUACUGCCUUUUACUUGCACUUAUUACAACUUGUUAGGAAUUGAAAUCAUCAAUCUGGUCAUUCUGGAUUGCAACCUUUUGGCUCUUUUGAUUCAAUAUUAUAAUCCUUAAAAUUGAAGGAUAAUGUUUUUGCUAGUGUGAUUUUAUUUAGUUUGCCAGCCUGCUAUGCAUUUCUUGGCAUAGGUUUCUGGAAGAAGCAGAUAAAUUUAAAUUUUCUUCUUCAUUUGAGUGGUGGAAUUUAAGUAUUAGAUCAAGCUAUUUUUGAAAGUCAUAGGGCACUCAUUAUGCUUGAAUAAUUUUUUUUUUUUUUUUUUUCAAAUCAUUUCAUCUUUAAUUGAAAACAAUAAAUCACCGUUCUAAUCAUGCAGCUGAUCCCUGUGUAGUUAACCUCUGCUCUGUUAUUGAUUUCCAACUCUACUUUGUUUUAAUGAGCAUUCUAACCACCAAGAGGCUCCUUUCACCAAUGUGUUGUUCACUAGUUAUGGUUAUGGGACCAUUGUGGUGGGUUUGUCAAUGAUCAUGGAUUAUGGUGGAUUGUGUUUGUCCUAAUAGUUUGUAGUGCUAAUCAUAUUUAAUGUGCAUAUAGCUCUACUAUUGCUUCAAAUGUUUUAUGGUCUUGAAAUUACUGUUGGCUAAAUCAAGGCCAAAUAGGCCUCUCUGUAGUUUGUAUUGCCAAUUUGGGAAGUUUUAACCAAGAGGACAUGAAAUAGAAUAAGGUGGAGCCCAUAAGAACAUGAACAUUUGCAGUCUGAACUCUGAAGAACUAUGGAUGAAUGCUGUUUUUUUAGAACAAUUCCUCUAUUAUUGUUAUAUGCUUGGGAAAGUGACUCACACCUAGGAUAGAAUAGAAUACCCUGAUUUCUCACCACUAGUAAGGUCCAAGGUGAAAUGCCAUCCUGGACAUUUGUUGAAAGAUAUAUUUUCAAGACCCUUUGGUUCAAAUAUUAAAAGCAUUUCUAAUGAACUUCUCUCUUUUUAUUUCUAAUGAACAUAAUUGGUAUGUAUUUCUAAUGAACUUUUCUUUGUAAUUCUAAUUUUUUUGAAACGGAUUUAUGAGAUCAUGUGUGUAACAAGUUGUAGCCUUGACAUUCAGUUGGAAUUGUAAGACUUGUGUUCUCCAAAAUAAUUAGAGUUGUAAAGAAAGAUGGUAGAAAAGACUUGGGAGAAAUGCAACCAAUGUACUCCAUGUGAUGGUUAUACGUUCAAAUGGCCAAAGUUUACUGGCCUAAGCAUCAACCUGGGAGAAAUGCAAAUCAAUUGAGCAAGGACAACAAUCCUUUUUGUGAUGGUUAUACUUUCAAAAUUACAAAGUGUACUCAAAAUUGUAUCUUGCUUGGCUAAGUUAAUGAAAAUAAACUUACAAGGUGACUCCAUGUUGGAUGACCUUCUUGCACUUGGA